AGCACAGAUAGGCAUAUCAGAUUGUGGGAUCCCCGAACUAAAGAUGGUUCUUUGGUGUCGCUGUCCCUAACCUCACAUACCGGUUGGGUGACAUCAGUAAAAUGGUCUCCUACCCAUGAACAGCAGCUGAUUUCAGGAUCUUUAGAUAACAUUGUUAAGCUGUGGGAUACAAGAAGGUAAAUUCUAUUUAUGAUCUACAAGAGAAACAUAUCAAUUACCUGUUAUAGGAAGGAAAUUAAUACUAAAAUUCUUAUCUAAAACCAGAAGAGUAAAAAGAGCCUCAUGGUUUUGCAACCUCAUGUGACAAAUACU
rnacentral:sRNA from 1 species